UACGGGGGGAGCAAGCGUUGUUCGGAUUUACUGGGCGUAAAGGGCGCGUAGGCGGUCAGCACAAGUCAGUUGUGAAAUCUCCGGGCUUAACUCGGAAAGGUCAACUGAUACUGUGCGACUAGAGUGCAGAAGGGGCAACUGGGAAUUCUCGGUGUAGCGGUGAAAUGCGUAGAUAUCGAGAGGAACACCUGCGGCGAAGGCGGGUUGCUGGGCUGACACUGACGCUGAUGCGCGAAAGCCAGGGGAGCGAACGGG
rnacentral:rRNA from 1 species